rnacentral:misc_RNA from 1 species
UGCACCUUCCCACACUGACGGGCAAUUUCUCAGGAUCUCUCGAUCUCUGCCACGCGGAGUAGCGGGAGAGCGUAUUGGAGACGUGCUCCGUUUCUCUUUGGUUUCGCUCGCUCAGACAUCCUCGAGGUAGCGGAGAGCGCCAUCGUCAUGUGUGGAGAACGCACCGUCAUAGAACAGGGGAAGCGAUAUACAAUCAUCGGGGGCUUCUUUGCCCUUUUUCGGUUCUCGUGUUGUUUGUUUGUAGGAUCUCACCCUCGCCUCCGCCUUUUCUAAGCAGUUCGUGUACACACUCGUUCACAGACGCAUCAGCGCCGAGCUGGUCACUUGCGUACGACUUUCCUCACUCCACCCCGCCCCCUCCCCGCCUCUCUGCACGUCCUCGUGCGUGACUAUCUUCCUUGCUCUCGGGAAUACGUAUCUCGCAUGUUCUCGGAAUCCGAUGAAAGCACCUAUACGGUGCACGAGGUCCAUCGUGAUGACCGCGGCGCCGUGCCCAAGCCGGUGGAGAGUCAGACGGAGCCAGAGACGAGCUCUCAUUUGGCGCGGUACUACCGCCUCGGGACAAAGGAGCGGCACGCCUUUGACGAACACAUGCGCCAUCUUCGGCAGCAGGUAGCGGCGGUGGAGCGGGAGCGGCAAUUCCGUGUGUCGCAUCCGUUCCAGCCAAAGACCUGUACGCCCUUCGCAACUGUCGCAGACGCAGUCACGGAUGCAGCGCAGGCCGACAGUCCAAGCCGCUUAGCACCUCCGGUCGCCUCUGGCAUCGGGUCGUCCUCGUCACCGUCGGGCGUGCGUCCAGUCUUUGAGCGGCUAGCCGCGCAGGCGGUGCAGCUGGAGAUGCGGCGACGCCACCGCGAGGAGCAGCGGCGGCGAGCCGAGGCAGCGUCUCUACGUGGUGCUUUUCAGCCCCACAUAAACCACACAGCCCCCAUCUACGCUGAGCGCCUGCAGCACCUUGAGCUGGUCCCCGUGGAGGAACGACUUCUCCACUACGGCGAGUUUGUCGCUCGCGAACGCCAACGGAAGCAGGAACUCAAGGAGGUAGAGCAGACAGUGGCGUGGCAGUCUACACAAGCAUCUGUGGUAGGUGCAGGUACCUCUCAGCCACGAGGUCCGGAGGAGCGUCGCCAACAGCAGGAGGAGUUCCUGGCGCGCAAUCACCGAUUUCUCGCAGAGCGGUCGAAGCACCGCCAAUGCGCAGAGGCAGCGGCCGCUGAGGCCUUCUCCUUUCAGCCCAAAAUCUCCGCUACGUCCGCCGCGCUUGACGAAGCGCGCCAGCGCUGUGCGAACGCCGUUUCCACUAGCGAACUGGGCCAGCUCCUCAACCGCUCCGUCGACGCGCCGCCUCUUAGCAUCUCCAAGACCUCUGCCAACGCUGGGCGCCGCAGCGACGCCCUCUACGCAUUAGCGGUGGCUCGGCAGCGCCAGCGGAUGGAGAAGCUGGAUCACAACAGUUCUAACAGUGGUGAGACCACUAACGGUGUCGACAAAGGCAAAGCUGUCGAGGGGCCGAAGGCGACCCAUCAGCCGCUGACGAACCCGACGUCAGCCAAGUGGAUCGCCGAAGGAGCGCACGGGCCAUUCUUCCAGGAGGACUUUGUUCGUCGUCAGGCACUCUACGAGGAAGUGAAGCGGGAGGAGGCGGCGCUCCGUGCCACCGCCGUGCAGGAGCCAGAGCUCAGCAGUGGCAGACCUGCCGCGCACAAGGUGGAUGCAAAGCAGCUGAAUCAGCGUCUCUACUACAGCGCUAAAACGGCACGCGAGGCUUCGGAGCGGCGUAGACAGGCUCUGGUGAGUGCGCGUGAGUGUCCCUUCCGCCCGCAACUGUCACCUGGAACGAAGUACGUGCUGCAGCACAUGCCCUCCCGUGACGGCGAUGUUGUGAAGCGGCUGACGUCGCAGCGGGGCAGCGGCUCGAGCGGCGGUGCCCGCGUUGCCAUGGACAACGAUCUAUACGCUCCUGCACCGGCGCACCAGCCCUCCUUGCAAGGCCACUCUCGUAGCCCUUCACAGCAACGAAAGACCGAAGUGAAGAACUCCACUGAAGUCGGGCAGGACACCCGGCGAAGAAGAACGUCUCUGCGCACGGCGUCGCCUCGAACAGAGGCACGGGGCGAAAGAGCUGACGGGAGCGGUGACGAGCUACCGGCGCAGCAGCAGCAACGAAAGCAGCACGGCCGCCCUUUGACGCUUGACCAGGUGGAGCACUUUUAUCAGCGACAAAUCGCCGCUCUCCAGCAGCGAAAGGACUUGAUUCAAGAGCGCAGGGAGGGCAAGGCGAUGGAGGAACUUGUGGAAUGCACGUUUCGGCCCCGCACGAACACGGACCGACAUGUGGGUAUGGAAAGCGGCGCGGGCGAGGGGGCGGACACUGCGGUGUCCGUGAAUCACGUCACUGGUGUCUCGGCGUUUCUUGAGCGGCAGGCCGUCGCACGAGUGCGCAAGGCGGAACACGACGAGCUCGUACGCACCGUGGGUCUUCCACGGCACAAGAGUGCGGGGAGCAACGGCACAUCUUCGCGCACCACGGCCUUGAGCCCGUUCAAGUUCCAGACGGAGAUGCGCCGCCAACGAUUGCCGAGCUCCCCGCUUGAGAGCAAGCAGCGUCGUGAAGCCGCCCCCUUCUCUACGGCAGCGCUGACGACGGCGGAACGCGCCUUGCACGAGGCGAUCGAGCAGUCGCGUCGCUGCCCGGGCGCAAGUUCGCAGGCGCCGCUCUUCCCUCUUCCCGGAUGCGCGCAUGCGAGCGAGGAUGGCGCGCACUUUGACGACCGCGGUCAUGUUGCGGCAGCGUCGAAGGACGUGGAGGAACCGACGUCGCGCGUGCCCCCUUCAACGCUGUCAACGGAGAAGAAAGGGCGCGGCGAUGCAGCCGCUGUCGGGGUUGGCUACGAUCGGCCAUCGCUCUUCUCCUUGAUCUCGCCGAAUACUUUCUCUGGUAGGAGCCUGGGCUCUGCCGCUUACGAGUCUGGAAACGGAAAGGGCACACCUGCGGGACGCGGCUUUGCCAGUGACAAGCCAUCACCAUCUGCCCUGAAAGGCUCCAAGCAACGCCUCACCGCUAGCGUGAAGCGGCAACGGCGAAACCGCUCAGUCUCCUUUGUAGAGGAGGCCGCCGACACGCCAGUGGCAGGUGUGGCGCUCAGAGGUCGUAAGUCGUUCGCCGAUCCCGCCCACUUGGCGUUCCUCAGUGGAGAGCUGUGAGGGAGGUAUGGCGCUACGCGAACGCGAGUUGUUGGACAGAGCCGCUGUCGAAUAGAGGCAACCUUGACAAACCCGUCGCUUCUUCUCUCUCUCGGGUGUGCCGAUCCCGGGGAGGGGGCAUAGAAGG